CACUAAAGUUUUCCCCCAAAUCCAGGGUUUUUAUAACUGCUCAACUUGACUUUUAAGAACUGAAAUUGCAUAAAAAUAUUCUUUUACUAAUUUUCAGAAUUCAAACAUAAGCAGUUAUUUCAACCAAUGGGAAAACGACCUGUCUUCAUCACUGUGCCUUUCGGGUUGAUUCGAAGGAGACUUGACUGAUAUUCCUCGCAGAUCGAGAAACCACAUCAAAGUUUUAUGACUUUGACUAGAAAUAUGACGUCAUUUCAAUCAUAAUUUUUCUCAAGCACCGACAUUGGAUCCAUAGAGAGCCUUGUCUAUAAUCAGUAUGACAUUGAGAUAUUUCUCCGACUUAGUGAUAGGCCUCAUGAAGCUGGUUACCCGGUGUCCACGUAAACAAGAUCAUAAUAUUCAUUCUGUACGGGACAACGAUCCAUUGCAGGAAUCAAGAUAAGCAAUUUUUGUGAGAGGAGUGGCCGGUUACAUCGACCACAAUAGUUGGCUGACAUAUUAUUUUAUAAACUACGGAGUAAUUUGACUGCGGCCAUGCUGGAGCACCGCCUUUAGUCAAGAAAAUCGACUCCAGGACUUAUUAUUUAUUUGGCAGGAGCUUUUAACACUGACGAUUUGGCAACGGUGACUGAAAAUUAAACCCGUUUUGGUGACUGUACGUUUUGAUACUGGAGGCGCGCGCGCACAGAGAUAUGCACAUACAGAAAGAGGGAAACAGAGAAAGAUAUCACACAUAUUGUUGUGUCGACGCCCCCAGACGAUGAAGUAGGCUAGCCCAAUACGUAGAUAUAGUGGAAGAAGUCUAGACGUCGAAGUAAUUGAGUAGAGGUCAUCCGAACGUGCGAUAUAACAGUGGCGACGAAGAUGAGAUGCUGACACAAUACAGUAGUAUUGCGAUAUAACAGUGGCGACGAGGAUUUUGUAGCUCACACAGCCACCGUGUAGUAUUGUGAUAUAACAGUGGCGACGAGGAUUUCGUAGCUCACACAGCCACUGUAUAGAAGUGCGAUAUAACACACAUAUACAAACAUAACAUAAACAGUGGAACAGAGAGAAGGAGACGAAAAGAAUGAGAGAAACAUUAAAAUGACAAACAAGUCAGCGUUAAAUCAGCGGCGCCGAUUAGGCGGACCAAAACGUCUCAUAUAUUGUUUGAAUUUUUUUUCUCUGUGCGUGGUUCAGUUCGUUGUCGUCGUCAAUUGUUCUUUGUCAGGGCUUGUGUUUAUGUCUCUCUGUGCAAGUGUA